UACAGAGGGUGCGAGCGUUAAUCGGAAUUACUGGGCGUAAAGCGUGCGUAGGCGGCCGACUAAGUCGGAUGUGAAAGCCCCGAGCUUAACUUGGGAACUGCAUUCGAUACUGGUUGGCUAGAGUACAGGAGAGGAUAGUGGAAUUCCAUGUGUAGCGGUGAAAUGCGUAGAUAUAUGGAGGAACACCAGUGGCGAAGGCGACUGUCUGGUCUGAUACUGACGCUGAGGUACGAAAGCGUGGGGAGCAAACAGG
rnacentral:rRNA from 1 species